rnacentral:rRNA from 1 species
AUUGAACGCUGGCGGCAGGCCUAACACAUGCAAGUCGAACGAGUGGCGGACGGGAGAGUAAUGUCUGUGACACUGCCUGCUGGAGGGGGAUAACUACUGGAACCGGUAGCUAAUACCGCAUACCAUCAGAUGUGCCCAGAUGGGAGUAGCUGGUUGGUGGGGUAACGGCUCACCAGGGAGACGAUGCCGAGCUGGGCUGUGAGGAUGACCAGCCACACUGUAACUGAGACACGGUCCAGACUCCUACGGGAGGCAGCAGUGGGGAAGAUUGCACAAUGGGCGCAAGCCUGAUGCAGCCAUGCCGCGUGUAUGAAGAAGGCAUUCGGGUUGUAGAGUACUUUCAGCGGGGAGGCGUUACCCGCAGAAGAAGCACCGGCUAACUCCGUGCCAGCAGCCGCGGUAAUUC